rnacentral:rRNA from 1 species
UACGUAGGGGGCGAGCGUUGUCCGGAAUCAUUGGGCGUAAAGCGCGUGUAGGCGGCCCGGUAAGUCCGCUGUGAAAGUCCAGGGCUCAACCCUGGGAUGCCGGUGGAUACUGUCGGGCUCGAGUCCGGAAGAGGCGAGUGGAAUUCCUGGUGUAGCGGUGAAAUGCGCAGAUAUCAGGAGGAACACCAAUGGCGAAGGCGGCUACCUGGACAGAAACUGACGCUGAGGCACGAAAGCUAGGGGAGCAAACAGG